GACGAACGCUGGCGGCGUGCUUAACACAUGCAAGUCGAACGGAAAGGCCCUGCUUUUGUGGGGUGCUCGAGUGGCGAACGGGUGAGUAACACGUGAGUAACCUGCCCUUGACUUUGGGAUAACUUCAGGAAACUGGGGCUAAUACCGGAUAGGAGCUCCUGCUGCAUGGUGGGGGUUGGAAAGUUUCGGCGGUUGGGGAUGGACUCGCGGCUUAUCAGCUUGUUGGUGGGGUAGUGGCUUACCAAGGCUUUGACGGGUAGCCGGCCUGAGAGGGUGACCGGCCAAAUUGGGACUGAGAUAAGGCCCAGAAUCCUACGGGAGGCAGCAGUGGGGAAUAUUGCACAAUGGGCGGAAGCCUGAUGCAGCAACGCCGCGUGCGGGAUGACGGCCUUCGGGUUGUAAACCGCUUUCGCCUGUGACGAAGCGUGAGUGACGGUAAUGGGUAAAGAAGCACCGGCUAACUACGUG
rnacentral:rRNA from 1 species